rnacentral:rRNA from 1 species
UACGAAGGGGGCUAGCGUUGCUCGGAAUCACUGGGCGUAAAGAGUGCGUAGGCGGGUUUUUAAGUCAGGGGUGAAAUCCUGGAGCUCAACUCCAGAACUGCCUUUGAUACUGAAGAUCUUGAGUCCGGGAGAGGUGAGUGGAACUGCGAGUGUAGAGGUGAAAUUCGUAGAUAUUCGCAAGAACACCAGAGGCGAAGGCGGCUCACUGGCCCGGUACUGACGCUGAGGUGCGAAAGCGUGGGGAG